UACAGAGGUGGCAAGCGUUGUUCGGAAUUACUGGGCGUAAAGGGCUCGUAGGUGGCCAACUAAGUCAGACGUGAAAUCCCUCGGCUUAACCGGGGAACUGCGUCUGAUACUGGAUGGCUAGAGUUUGGGAGAGGGAUGCGGAAUUCCAGGUGUAGCGGUGAAAUGCGUAGAUAUCUGGAGGAACACCGGUGGCGAAGGCGGCAUCCUGGACCAACACUGACGCUGAGGAGCGAAGGCCAGGGGAGCAAACGGG
rnacentral:rRNA from 1 species